AACUGAUACUACCUGCGGGAACCUGCGGAAGGAUCAUUACCGAGUUUACAACUCCCAAACCCCUGUGAACAUACCAAUUGUUGCCUCGGCGGAUCAGCCCGCUCCCGGUAAAACGGGACGGCCCGCCAGAGGACCCCUAAACUCUGUUUCUAUAUGUAACUUCUGAGUAAAACCAUAAAUAAAUCAAAACUUUUAACAAUGGAUCUCU
rnacentral:misc_RNA from 1 species